CAAAUGUACUAACCCCAGAAUAUAAUUUGAAAUAUGGCUAACAGAAAACCUCACAUAAUGAAGUCAACAAAAUGAUAAGAGGAGCUUGUUGCAAAACAUUUGUAAAUGUAACUCAGUGCCAAAACAUUGUUUUUCAAAGUCAAAGUAGAGGCAGACAGAGUUCACAGGAAAUUGUGGGAUUGAAACAUGCCUGAAGCAAAGAUCUAGAGCAAACAUCAUGAGCCAUUCCUCAUCACCACAGUCAUUGGAGAUAGAUGCUUGUGGCUUGGGGAAUUAUUCUCAUUUCCAGUUUGUGGGUGCAGGCAGUGAGAGUUCCAGAAAAGAAGACAUGUUUUCAUGACAAAUCAGUGUCAGUCAUUGUCAAGACUUACACAGCAGUCCUCACAAGAAGGAUUCUGAAGUACAUUAAUUUAUUGAGACCCUGUAUCUUCCUUGAAGGUAGACAGAGAUCUUCACUAUCAAGUGGAUUGCUGUGGUCGAGGUGCACACUGGGUGCCAUGGGAGAUCAGAGGGCAAUGCUCAUACCAACUGGAGUUAAGGGAGGCUUCCUGGUAAAGACUCUAAGCUCCAGAAGAGGUAGUACAUUGGCAAACAGCCCUCUCUGCAUCUCCAGAACCCAGUACAGAGAAGGAGUGAAGAAACCAACUAAUUAUGACUGUUCAAGAGCCUGAAGAUUUCCUCUUGGCCUCCAGGUUGUGAAUGACUUGUUGACACUGGACUAAACCAUGGAAUUAAUGUUUUGUUAGUGAUGGUGGGACAGGAUGGCUGGAGUGAGCUGUCAUUUGGUAUUCUCCCUCCCCCGUUGGAAGAGUAGUGCUGACUGGAGUGCAUCUCUCCUUCCUACAGCUGUGUGUUUUUCUCCCACUAUGUUCAACUGCUCACGUUGAGGAGCAUGGCCGACGGUUGAGUUUCACCUGAGCUGGAGUUUGGCACGGCGUUGACAGUAGAGAGAAAGCACUGCUCCCACAAUUAUCUCUGCUUUCUUCCGCGUCAUCAGACUGUUAUUCAGUAAGGUAACUGAGGCUUUGCAGCCCAAUUACUGUGAGACAUGCUAACAGUGGACACCUGGAUGACAGAGAGAAACACCUACUGCUAACUGCUUUCCCUGCAGAUCCUACAAAGAUGAUAGCAAAGGGCUUUUCAAAAGGGCCCAGAGCCUCCAUGAAUGGGUGAAAUGUGACAAGCUGGAAGCAGGAAAGUAGGCUGAAGGGUGGUAAGUAAUGUAAGAGACCUGAGAAAGGAGGACUCUAAGCUGGCUGUGGGGUAAGCCAAGUACCCGGACUUAUAAGGUAGAACCUUGCAGAUGCUCAGGAACUGAUGCUGAGAUAUACGGUGUAUCAGUAAAGGGAUGGAAAACCCAGGCAGUCUGGCUGGAAGUCUGUUGAGGGAGCACUCAGGACUGCAGCGUAUCUGAAGACUGAAACAAAAGUGUGUCUUUAGACUGGACUGCACGGUGGGCGUGGGGGCAGUGCAUUCCCAGCUGAAGGCAGCUGUACUUUAUGGGGGUGUUUCCCAGAACACUGGUGGCCAGGCUGACUGACAUCCUUCAGAGAGGAACUUAGAAGAAUUUUAUCUGGGCAAUGUGACCAGCCUAAGAGCAGAAGCACUAAAAAAUAAUGACAGUGAAGAUUUUCAAUAGUAGAGGCCAGAGAAUAAGUUUUAUCUCGGCAGAACUUCCAAAGGGCUGUUUCCUCAUGCUCACUUUCAAGUAAGAGCGGGCAGCUAAAGCUAAAGAUCAUGAGAUUCUGAGAAAACCUCCCAAAACAUAGUCCAAAAUAGACUGGGGGAAAAAGAGAGAACAAACAUCUGAUGGAAUGGACCAUGUAAGAAAGAGGGAAAAAAACAUUAGGUUAUAAAAAUGAGAAAAUGUCCCAGUAAACAGAAAAAUAAGACUAUAUGAGCACCCAGUUUAGAAUCUGGUCCAACACUAAAUAAUAUGAUUCUGGAGAAAGAACAGGGAAAAUGAUGGCAAGGAAUUCAUUACUUGUUUUUUAGUUCUCUGAUUAGAACCCUUGAAGAGACUCCACAUUUCCUGGAAAAAAAAAGCCAAACUCUUUUCAUGAACACUGAUUCUUGGUCCUAUUUAAACUGGCAAGCAGCACACCACUGGCCCUUCUACUUCUAUCCCUCCCCUCAUAAUUCUUAUCACUUAAAUACUACGCACUAACUCAUUUUAUCCUUGGUAUUUAUUGUCUACACCUUUUGUUAAACUGUAAACACCACAAACUUGCUCACUGAAGUAUCUCUAACAUCUAGACCUAGCGAAUGCUCAAUAAAAAGAUGCUGAAUGAAUUCAAUGAGUAAAGGAGCAGGAAUAAGAAUGGUACUGGGCUGCCCUGGCUGGUAUAGCUCAGUGGAUUGAGCGCAGGCCUGCGAACCAAAGGACUGCAGUUCGAUUCCCAGUCAGGGCACAUGCCUGGGUUGCAGGCCAGUUCCCAGCAGGGGAUGCACGAGAGGCAACCAUAUACUGAUGUUUCUCUCCCUCUCUCUUUCCCUUCCCCUCUAAAGAUAAAUUAAAAAAAAAAAAA